UUUCCAGACUCCUACGGGAGGCAGCAGUGAGGAAUAUUGGUCAAUGGACGCAAGUCUGAACCAGCCAAGUAGCGUGCAGGAUGACGGCCCUCCGGGUUGUAAACUGCUUUUAGUUGGGAAUAAAAGGGGGCUCGUGAGCCCCGUAUUGUAUGUACCAUCAGAAAAAGGACCGGCUAAUUCCGUGCCAGCAGCCGCGGUAAUACGGAAGGUCCGGGCGUUAUCCGGAUUUAUUGGGUUUAAAGGGAGCGUAGGCCGGCUUUUAAGUCAGCUGUGAAAGUCCGCGGCUCAACCGUGGAAUUGCAGUUGAAACUGGAGGCCUUGAGUGCACACAGGGAUGCCGGAAUUCAUGGUGUAGCGGUGAAAUGCUUAGAUAUCACGCAGAACUCCGAUUGCGAAGGCAGCAUACCGGCGCUCAACUGACGCUCAUGCACGAAAGUGUGGGUAUCGAACAGGAUUAGAUACCCCAGUAUG
rnacentral:rRNA from 1 species